CCUGGCGGUGCUGCUGCGGCCGCCGGAGGGCGCGCUGGGGGAGGAGCCGCAGCCGCAGCCGCAGCCGCAGCCGCCCCGCGGGCCCCGGGCGGCCUAUUGGCUGAGCACCUUCGGCCAAGUGGGCAAGUACAUAGAGAAGCUCUUCAACAGCAGACGUGUUUUCCAGCUUGAAAUCUAAGGACGCCAAGAAAUCUAAGGAUGUUAAACACCCCAAGAAAGCUUACAUCGACACAAAAGCCCCCCAGUGAACGCCAGGAAACCCCCACCAGCAAACGCCACGAGCCUCCCUCCACCGAACCCCGCCAACCCGCGGAAUCCCACUAACCCCGCACCGCGCGGCGCCACGAAACCCUGACCACCGAGCUCCUCCCAGGGUCCCAGAUGCCCGACUCAAGUCUCCUCGCGGGUCCACGGAUCUCCACAUUUUUUAUGAGAGGGGCCCUAACUCCUCCCACCCCACCCCCAGUGAGAACAAUAAAGAGAAAUGGAAUGUC